UACAGAGGGGGCAAGCGUUAUUCGGAAUUAUUGGGCGUAAAGGGCGCGUAGGCGGUCGUGCAAGUGGAAGGUGAAAUCCCUCGGCUCAACCGAGGAACUGCCUUUCAAACUGCAUGACUUGAGUCCGGGAGAGGUGAGUGGAAUUCCCAGUGUAGCGGUGAAAUGCGUAGAUAUCGGAAGGAACACCUGUGGCGAAAGCGGCUCACUGGACCAUUACUGACACUGAGGCACGAAAGCUAGGGGAGCAAACAGG
rnacentral:rRNA from 1 species